ensembl:lncRNA
GGUGCCUGGGCUUCCCAAGUGGCUCAGUCAUAAAGAAUCUGCCUGCCAAUGCAGGAUAUGUCCUGAGAUGCCAGUUCAACUCCUGGGUCAGAAAGAUCCCCUGGAGGAGGAAAUGGCAACCCACUCCACUCUUCUUGCCCGGAUAAUCCUAUGGACAGAGCAACCUGACAAGGUACAAUCUACGAGGCUGUAAAGUCAGAUGCAACUAAGCAACUGAGCAUGCAAGGAUAUCUGAUUGACAGUGUCGUGAUAAUUUCAGGUUGCUUCCAUGUCUUGGCUGUUGUAAAUAGUGCUUCGAUAAACACUGGGGUGCAAGUGUCCUUUCAGACCAUGUUUUUCUCUGGAUAUAUGCCCAGGAGUGGGAUUCAGAACUUUCAUUCAUGUCAGAGAACCUCUGUGAUGUCAUCAUUUUCCAGUUUGUGGGUCGCCCACUUGGCAGCUGUUUUCUAAGGUGGUGGUACCAGUUUGUGUUUUCAACAGCAGUGAAACAGAGUUCCAGCUUUUCUAAAUUCUCACCAAUACUUGGGCUUCUAUCCACAUGGGCUUUCCUGCACCUGUUUCACAAGACAGCGACACUCCUCCCCGCACUGUGGCAAACUCUCCAUCACCUGGCGCGUAUGCUGCUCUGAGUCUCAUCGCACCUUGGUGAAGAAACACACGAGCCCAUAUGUCAACUGAGGUGUUUAUAUUCUUAUACACAGAAAGGGGAAAUAUGUCUCGCAAUGCGUGUUUGCAUACUUUGGAGCAGAUUUUUUAAGAAAGAAAGAAAGGAAGGGAGAAAUAGAAACCUUGGCUGAAGCUAGCUGAAGAUUUGUUCCUUUGUUUUUACCACCCAGCCUUGGAAAGAGUCUCCGUGCUGGCUGGGAAGAGUCUGUGCUGAGGUGUGGGUUCCUGGAUGACCCAACUGGAUGGAGUGUGCUGGCUGAGACAAUCAGGGGAAGAGUCAAUGGGUUAGAGGUUAAGAACUCUCAGAAUACAGAUAGGGAAAGCAAAACUAAGAGAUAGAAAAGCCCACAAGCUAAAGGGCAGGAGCUGGGAGCUGGAAGGAUAUAGAAGAUAUGUUGUCAAUAAUUUUGGAGUUUGCUGGAGCAUGCUUUACUUGAUUUUUAUGUAUAUAAUGGGGAUGGAUUGGUGUUAGGAACAAUGAAGAAAUGUUUGUUUAGCUAACUAAUUGUG